UUAGAUCAUUGCCAAUCCUCUUUAACAUGAUUCUGCUGUUUUGAGCAAGUUUAAAAUACUGUUUUCAAACUAUUUGUGGUGUUUCCAGUCCAGAUUUAAGUCCAUUCUGCAAUUUGACCAUUUGAGUUGUGAAAUUGAGCUGAAAAUGGAACUGCACUAGNCAAAUUUCGUUGCACAUUGAUUCUGUUCAUCAAAUAUGUUUCUGCAAGUCUUAAUUCACUAUUGAAACAUGUUUGAAUCAUUGGAAUGAGUAUCUAGUCAGUUCUGUGCAUUUGGUAUAUAACACUAGUCAUUUUCUACUCAAAAAAAAAUUACUGUGGCCGAGAGCUAUGCAGUGUUUUUCCAAGUGGCAUUGAUUUUCUGUUUGAUUCAAAAGUAUGGAUGUAGCAAAAGCCUUUGGUCCAUAAAACAUCAAAAGAACAAUUCAAAAGAGUUAUUAAAGUAUUAAAAGGC
rnacentral:lncRNA from 1 species